CUUUUCUUUGGCUACCGUGAAAGGCCAAUAGAGCUGCCUUUCAGUAAUGCAAACCCUAAACUUAGGAACGAGGCUGCCAUCUGGCUGCUUUCUCGGGCAUCUCACUUUUCCUCCCAAAGAGAUGUGAAUGACUAAUCAGGCUCCUACUCCGUGUGCACGGUGCACACAGGAACCACUGUGUUCUGCAUUGGAGGCUCCGUGGCGACAGCCAGAACCCAACACAGGACAGAACCAACCCACUGCGCAGGGCAAGAGGAACACAUGCUGGCCUUCACAGAUUCCUUUGACCCACCUGCGGCCUUUGUGCUUUUUAAAGGGCUUUGGGGAAAGAGCCCUUCUUUGUCAACUGACCUCUUCUGUCUGUUUACUUACUCCAUUUCAUCGGGUGAACUAGCUGAUUCUAGAAUCUCAAAAUGUAGCAGUCAAGAUCUUUAAAUCUGCAGUUUUGUCCUGUGACCAUUCCUGUCAUGUGAAAUUAAAUAUAGUCUCCCAUCAUGUUGUUCAAUUGUGGUAAAACAAUAAAAGGCAAUUUCCUUCA